AGCCUGGCUCGCUAUGUCAUUCGACGGCUGCUUUGAGUAUGUCGGGGCAGUCGUAGAUACAGGCGUCGAGAUGCUUGCGGCGACUUACCGACCGCGCUGGCUAACGGGCUAUGCACGUUUGUCAGUGUAAACGUAAAUGCUAAAGAACAGUCGAAGUGCAUUAGGCGCAUGAAUUGUCUGUGAAUCACGUGCCGUGUUAGCGACAGUGGAAGCAACAGGUGCUGCCCCUGUUCAUGUCUCGAGGCGUGAUUCGGUGGCUUUGCUUGCCUUGCCUCGGCCAAGACAGGGCUCGUGACGCGUCCACAAGCGCUGGGCAACGAUUCAAGGACGGGACACGGUAGAGACAAGUGUCGAGGAGGAGGGAUGGACCCAGAGAGUCCAGUACGUAUGUAUCGCGGCCGGCCGGCAGGCACUGGUGAAUCAGGGCUGGGUGUGGCGGCGACCGGUUUGUUGGAAUCGAGAUUGUGUGGGCCAUGGUUUUGGUUGUAGCACGGGUAUGAUGAGAGCAAAGAAGAACCGCCUCGCUGCUGCCGGGAAGCGCUGAUGUGGUUUGCAUGCCCCAUCUGUUCAUCGGUCGUGCUUGUCAUACCUUGACUCCAACCAGCAAGGUGGUGGAGCGUGCAAACGGUUGGGAGUGAACCUGGAUUGUCUACGUGCAGAUGUCAACAUCUAGUUUUAAGGCUUCGGGAACUUGGCUGUAGGUUGCUCUGGAUCCACCAGGCUCGCGAUCCACACGAUCAGCCUCCCCUUGAGGAGUCAUCCGCCCCCAGUGCAUGCCUGAAGGUAUCCCUAGGUAGUGUCAAUCGCUGACUGAAAUGUUCCCUGCUACUGUUGGGUUUCAGAAAUUAGUAGUAAGGAUGCGGCUGCAUGGAGGCUAGCGGCAGCUAAUCUCUGCGUCCUAUAUACGUGGUUUAGCGGGUCGAGAUGUAGAAGGCCUUGUUUCGAUGUGUCACUGUAUGGGGAUUUGAAGAACAACGGAAUGAAGUGCCGCUGCAUGCGGGUUUGGAAAGAUUUGAGACGGUAUGCAGCUUUUCGGGGGCGACCGUGUCGGCAGCAGCCAACAGUUCUGUAGCUUAUUAGUUCUGUGAAGCCAGACAGAUAUUUUGUGUAGUAUAAGAAGGUACGGAGGCGCCUGUUUCUCGCGACGACCUACACCCAGUACAUUGUACAGUUAGGAUGCUGAGAAUAUUAUCUUCUACAUGGACAGACGAUGUGCUGCACCACCCGGGCUUGGUUCAGGCCCGCCCUGUGCUGUCCCUCCCUUGGCAAUGGACGAGGAGGCGCUUUAGCGUUUCACUGUCAGGACGAACUCCG
rnacentral:lncRNA from 1 species